GAGAAUCCUAACCCCUCUAUCAAUAAGUGAGUGAAGUUUUGUUUUUUUUUUGUCUGACCUCUACACUCAUAAGUAGUGCCCAAUGCUGGCCGACCUGCCUCUAGAAUCACAUUAUCGAAAUCUGCCCUUGAAUUGUCCACAUGCCAAAGAAAACUUCUGAGACACUAUCCAUGCGCUGUGCUGGGCCUGCUGGCACUUGAAGCUACUUCGGCCACCCUUUCUCACCUAAAUUCACACCAGUCUUCUUGCCAGAGUCUGGCGACCUCCAAUCAUUCGCUUGCUUCUGGGUCCUUUGGAAUCUUAGCCCUUCUUUGGAAAUAGUAACACCUGGCUUAUGUUUUCCACAGUAGAUAAAAAAAAAAAAAAGAAAUUUCUAAUUUCACUCUCAAUCUUUAAUAAUGUCUGAAAAAGGAGCUACUUCAACUACAAUUCUUGAGAAACCUCUCUUUUCUUCGUUCUCCUCUCCACAAUUAUUACUGUAUAACUACAAGGCAAUAGUAAUUAUGUAUCUUGGGCAGCUUCUGUGGAAUUAUGAUUUACGGGACAAGGAUAUGAUGACCAUUUAACAAGGAAUUCUACAGAUAUUGCCACUUCUGAUCAAGCAGCUUGGGUGAAAGUGGAUGCUCAACUAUGUAGUCUCUUGCAGUAUUCACUUAACCGAUAGUGAUUUAAUCUUUUUCGGUCUUGCAAAAUUUGGUGCAAAGUUUGGACUAAAGCUAGGACCAUAGGAGUGUGCAAACCAAACCGAACCAAACCAAACCAGAAAAACUGAACUACCAAAAGGUAGAUUUUUGUGAACCAAAUCUAACUACUAGUAAAAUUGAAUCAAACUGAACUG
rnacentral:misc_RNA from 1 species